GUCGCGAAACAACCUGGAACAAAACCAAACACCCAUUCGCCCUAUCCUUCCGCUUCUCCAAAACCUAAUCCCUAACCCCAAAGAAGACUACCUCAACUCCUAAAUCUAAGAAGAAAAAUCUAACCCCUUUUGAUUCAAAUCCGAUUGAUACCUUUCAGAAGUGUUUUGGAGCUGACACGAUUGGAAAAUUUUGGAAUUUUGAGGAAAAUAAUGAAGAUGUGAUUUGGAAAAACCAGACCAGUGGUGUCGAGCUUGCUGACAACAAAAAAGCAAAAUCUCUGAUAGGCCAUUGGUCAAGAAAGAAAGGAAUGCAGAAAUUGGAUCAAAGUGGCAAUGACAAGGACGGUUUCAAGGAAAUUUUUGAGAAGAGGAAGAAACAAGAGAAAACAAACUUUCAGGAAUCUCAAAAGAAGAAUAAAUCCCGAGAUUUGGUUUGGUCUGCUAAUUCCAUUCAAAGUGGUGAACUGGUGGAGAAUCUGGUUUCAUUAUACAAUCCCUUCAAGAAAUUUCAGCCUGAAUUCUCUGAGAUUGCUGUGAUGGAGACCCAAUUAGAGAAAAGCCAUAAAAGUGAUCUCAUAAUGGAAACAUUGAUGUUGUGGAAAUAAUUAUGGGCACAGAGGUUUCACCAUUGAAGUCAGGGGAGCUACCUUCAACUACAGUACUAGAGCACCAUUGAAGUCAGGGGAGCUACCUUCAACAGAAACAGCUUUCCACUGGGCAACAGAAUGGAGUGGUCAUGAAGUAGCUUUCCAUAGCGAUUCCUUGCCUACUUUGAUGCUGCUCAAAGCAAUGUAUGUUGAAGCUAGUAAUAUAAGAUAUUCUACUAGUAACGACUUCCGAAGAAACAACUUAGAUCUUAUUAACUUUAAAAUUUCAGAACUUAUAUUAACUUCUAGAUUUAGUGUAAUGUGGGAAGCUAACACGGCAGCCUAAUGUAAUAUCUUCAAUCUCCAAAACUGUUGGAAAUGUGAGAAUUUAGGCCAACUCUUAAACUUUUUCAAUUCAGAGUAUUUCAACGACAAUAUAUCAUGGUCGAACCUAGUUCCGAUCAUGGUUAGAAACUUGAACAUGUAAUGUUAGAGGGUAUCUUCCUCUUGUUUUGUGAAAAAAGAAGAAGAUCCCUUUCCCAUCCAA